CUUUCCACCCUCUGCCUCCAUAAAUAACCAGCUAGCAAUAAUGGAGGCAGAAGAGGCCAAUAAUCCACCUGUAACAGCCCCCCAGCAGGACCGGUUUGCAGGGUUCUCAUUUACCACCUCCACCUGGAGAACCCCCCCAUAGGCACCGGGCCUACGACCGUCUGGCUGAGGCAGCAGCACUGCUGGAUGCAGGAGUUGGAGUUUCUGCAGAACAUCUGUGAUAAGAAGAUUGAUUACAACUUGGAAGAUUGUUUAUUAUUUUCUUAUUUUUUAUAAGUUUUUAAAUUUAACUUUUUUUAAAUUUGAAUAUUAACAUUUUUUAAAUUUACAUUUUCAAAUUUAGUGGGAGGGUAUUUUAUAAUGAAACAAUUUUAAAUUUUACUAUUUUUACAUUUUUGUAUUUACAAUUUUACAUUUACAUUUUAAUUAUUAGAUUUUAUAAGUAUUAUGUAAAUUUUAUUUAAAAGUUUAAAUUUUUUUAUAUUUUUCAAUUUUAAAUUUUUUUGAAUACAAGCAUAACAUCAGGUGUGUGAUGGGCCGGCUAUAGGGGAUGGUUGGAGGCCGGUAUUUUUUUUUUUUUUUUUUAACAUUAACAUUUUAAUAGUUAGGGGCCCAUUUAUCAAAUAAUAUUUGUGCUAUACCUGCUGCAAUCCCUCCAUUUCUGCCCGCAGCAACAUUCCCCAUUGGUUUCUAUGGGGGAUGCGAUGCUGGCCAAUGUAUCAAUAUCGGGAACGCAAAGCAUUCCCAAUAUUGGGGGUAAUUCAAAGUUGAUCGUAGAUGUGCUAAAUUUAGCACAUCUACGACCCUUUACUUUGACAUGCGGGGGGACGCCCAGCACAGGGCUAGUCCGCCCCGCAUGUCAGGCCCUGCUCCCCCCUACAUAGGUACAGAAUCAUCGCACAGCGGUGAUGCUUUUGUACCUGACAUGUAGCUCCCUGCCAGCACAGCUCCUGCUAGCUGGCAGAGGGCUAACUGCCAUGUCCCGGGUCGCAGCGGCUGCGUAUGACAUCACGCAGCCACUGCGGCCCGCCCACCCAACAGUCCAGACACGCCUCCAUUGUUAGGACCGUGCCCCACCAACGGCGUUCUAAGGCUGUUGGUACGCCCCCUCCCGUCCUGCGACUGCCUCUGCCUGUCAAUCAGGCGAUCGCACCAGUGAGAUGCUUUCUCAUCUCACUGGCUGCACAUGCACAGUGCACCACCGCGCGAGCGUACUGCGCAUAGUAAUUCAGACAGCAAUCCCUGCCGAUGCAGCAAUGCAGUCUGAAUUACCUCCAUUGUCCCUCCAGUAUUGCUGUAGCCCAUUGUAGCCUAUGGGCUAUGGAUCGCGAAAAGAAGAUCCGGCUGGGUUCCCUGGGAACUCUCCGCCGGAAAUGCCCUGUGCAUUGCGGUCACCCCCACAGCUACCGCAAUCUUUUGAUUGCGAUAGCCUAUUGUAGCCUAUGGGCUACAGAUCGCGAAAAGUAAAUCCAUCUGGGUUCCCUGGGAACCCUCCAUCUGAAAUGCCUCUGUGCACGCAUGCACAGGGGGCCUAAUUCAGAUCUGUUCGCUCGCUAUUUUUUGCAGCGCUGUGAACAGAUAGACACCACCUAUAGGGGAGUGUAUUUAAGCUUUGCAAGUGUGCGAACGCGUGUGCAGCCGCCCUGUAUAAAAACAGCUUGUGCAGUUUCUGAGUAGCUCUGACCUUACUCAGCCGCUGCAAUCACUUCAGCCUAUUCGAGCCCGGAAUUGAUGUCUGACACCCGCCCUGCAAACACCUCGACACACCUGUGUUUUUCCAACCGCUCCCAGAAAACGGUCAGUUGCCACCCACAAACACCCUCUUCCUGUCAAUCUCCUUGUGAACGGCUGUGCGAAUGGUUUCUUUGCUAGAACCAGUGCACAACAACAAUCCGCUUUGUAACCAUACGGCGCGCCUGCGCAUUGUGGUGCAUACACAUGCGCAGUAGUUACCUGAUUGCUGGGCAGCGAAAAACGCUAGCGAGCGAACAGAUCUGAAUUAGGCCCAGGAUCCCUGUCCCUGCGGGUGCCACGUGAUACAUUCACACAUAUUGCAAUGCGAUUCUGGGUGUUAAGAUCCAGUCCAGAUCGCAUUAUAUGCAACCCUUGAUAAAUGGGCCCCUAAGUGAGUUAAAAUGUAUUUUUCCAUCAAACCAUAACAACACAAAAUAAGGUGUGUGAUUGGCCCGGCUAGAGGGGGCGGUUUGGAGGCCGGCUUUUUUUUUUUUUUUUUUUUUUUAACAUUUAGAUUUUAAUUUUUAGUGUCCUACUAUAUAUAUCUGUGUGAGAUACACAGUUUAUUUUUAUCCAGUUAGGUUUUUUUAGGGAUGGGGUUCUAGGCUUUGCUGUACCAGAGGUGACACUGUCUGUGUAGUCACAUUGCUCAUUUCUUUUUAUUAUAAAAGAAUAAUUUAUUAUAAAUAUUUUUAUUAUUUGAAUAAAUUUGGUGUUUAAAUGUU